ensembl:lncRNA
CCUCACCUCUGCCUCCCAGCCCUCACCUCUGCCUCCCAGCCCUCACCUCUGCCUCCCAGCCCUCACCUCUGCCUCCCAGCCCUCACCUCUGGGUGAGGACAAUCAUCUACACCCUUCUACAAUCCCCUUUCCUAAUCCUCUCUCCUAAUCCUCUCCUUUAGACCCACCCUAGUCCUCCACCCCUUCCUGGUCUGCACUCCACCACUCCUACAACUAACUUGACAAUCCUCCAACUCAUCCUGAGCUCACAGCCAAUCAUCUACCCCCUCACCCUCUCUUUUAGACCCACCCUAAUCCUCCACACAUUCCUGGGCUGCACUCCACUACUUCUACUCCAUCUACUCCAUCCUAUCUACCCCCUCAAUCCUAUUCUUCCACCUAUCUCCCAAGCUACACACACAACAUCUGCAAUUUCUAGAGAACCACACCCACCUACCUCCACCUCCAAACUCCAGCCAAGUACUCCAUUUGGGGUUUGAUCCAAGCACCUCCUGCUCCACAGCCAUGAUGACUUAGCCAACUGAGCCACAGAGGCCUACACACCACUCCCUCCGUCACACCUUCAUAGCACCACUUUUGAUUCUUGAACCUGCCAAAAGGUGCCUUAGAACCUGAAAAAACACACCACAAACAUGAACUCUAACCACUACACCACCAAGCAACAGAAGCUACACACGUGUGUUGGACUUUUGUCAUCACAAAUCACGUCAUGAGGCUGCAGGAUUUUUUUUUUUGUCUUAAACCAGCCAAAAGGUGGAAGAGAACCCACACCUUCUGGAACACCAUCAUUGGCAUGAACUGUAACCACUACACCACCAAGAGACAGAAACUACACCCGUGUGGUGGGCUUUUGUCAUCAUAAAUCACCACACCACAGAAGGAACAGGUGCAUAAUGCUAAUGAGAAGAAACCUGGACCUGACACUGAUACGAGGAAUGUUAGAUGAGCGUGAGUGUCAGUGUUGUGGUUACUGAACCUUCUGGUUCUAAUCUGUGUUUUGGCAGGUUUAAGAAUAAAAAGUGGCGCUGUAGCAGUAUGAAGACGGCGGUGUGUACACACUGUGUAUAAAAACCUCUCACCCACACUGGUCACUCACCCUCCCCCGCCUUCCUCAUUCUCCUCAUUCUCUCAGACAGGUCUCUUUAAAAAGACUCCUGCUUAAGGAGUCCAUGGUAGCUUCCCUGGUCCCAGAUGUCUUUGGUUUUAUGCUAAUGAGGUAGACCCUGAUUGGAGGCCAGGCCUAAUUAUUUGUUCCUUGUUAUCCUGUGAUUUUAUUCUCACUACUUAGUAAUUUAAAUAGCACACGGAGAUCAUUAUUCCGUAAAUGAAAUCACGAAGACACAGAGGGAAAAACAAAUAAAACGAUAUUCGAAUAUAAAAUCUUUUGAAAAAUAUGGAGAAUUGUGGAGGCCGUGUGGUCAUGUGGUUCCUUCUUAUCAUUAUUUAGAUCUGAAUUUGUUCUCUCAGUUCAGUCAUUUUUAUUGCGUAUUCACCUACAGCCCUGAAGCUCCAGAACCUCACAGCUGAGAACUGGAUGUAGUAGAGAACCUAACGGAACCUUUCUUCUGAUACAAUCCGUGUUUUCCUAAAAUACAUUCCAGUGCUGCAGGGAUUAACUGAGUUAAUAAUCACAAUUAAUCACAAUAAAGCAGCAAACUGCAAUAAUCAAAGACAGAUCCUGUUAAUAAUAAUAAUAAUAGUAGUACAUCUUUGUGUAUCACUUAAUCAGAUAAUACAUGUUCAAAAUAGUGAUUAAUUGAUCAUCCUUAAUGAAUUAUAUGGAAAUCUAUGAGAAUUAACACAAGAUUAAAAAGUAUAUUAAAGUACAAAGCUAGAUACAUUGUGUAAUACUCUAACCAGACCAGCAGGAGGCGACACAGCACCUUUACACAAACAAACAGUGAUGUACAUCAGUGUAAUAUGUAUGUGAGUGAGAGUGUGUGUGUUAACCUCACCAUCUGAAGUGUUGAAAAAUCACUCAGAAUGCCUGUCAGAAAUGUUAAAGUAUGAGCAUCAGCUCUGCACAGCUGUACUGUCACCUGAUUGCAGCUCAGGUGAAGCAAUAACCGCAAGCUUUCAUUGGCCAAGGCAGAUCACUCACUGUUAACCUGGCUCACUCACACUGACGCCGUGUAUUUGCUCUUGAAAACAAAGCACAGAUGAACUCACCACUGAGCAAGGUGCACACUCUCAGUAAUCAGCACUCUCCCAGCUGUGUCGUGUGAGCCCAUCGCUCAGACGUCUCCACACACGCGUACUAUAUUUACAAUCAUGUCCGGUCACCUGCGGGAUUAGAACACAAGCAGCCACUUCCGUCCGAUGUCAAUGGCUGUAGCGGACAAAUCGGGCUCGUUGACUUCCUUUCCAUGUUGAACUUGUUAUUGCUGAGGUGAACUGUUCCUCAAUUCCUAAUUCAGUGUACAGAUGAAAAAGGUGCAGUGGAAAGUCUGUGUUCCAGGACCCCUGGACUGAUCCUGAGCUCAAGACUGAUUACAUAAUGAGAAUCUUUAUUUUAGCAGAGUAACAGUAUUAGUAUUAUACUCAUUCUACUGAACAGACAUAUUUCCACUACAAGUGGGCUUUGAUUAUAAACGGUUAGAAAACUGGCAAUAAAACAUUGAAAACAUUAGGCUUAAUGGUCGUGUGUAAUGUUUCUGUAGAAGACAAGCAGUAGAAAUAAGGGAAGACCGCUGUGCAGGGAGAAACAGGGACCUUCGGAUAAUAUAAACAAACAAACGUCCUACAACACUCAAAGUGCGCACUCAUCUUUCAGAGGCAGAUUCCAGCAGAUGGCGUCACAGGUUUGAACAGGAAAGAGGAAAUUAAUAUAUAUUAAUAUAUAUCUAUAUAUAUAUAUUUUUCUAAAUCAGAUUUGUGCAAUAUUCUUAGAUGUCGGCACCACAAUGGCCUCUACGGGAGCAGGGUCGGAGAAGGUUACUCUCAGCUCUUUGCAGACAAUAUUUAGUUCUAAUUGUCUACUGCUGACGGAUCUGAUAUUCAUAGCCUGUUCCCAACAUGGUGUAUCAUGAGGACAGUCGUGGCCGUGGAAAAAAGCCUUAUGGAAGUCGUCGAGACGCAACUCUCUGUUCGGUUUUAUUGUCUGGUGAAGUCUGAUGCCUUCGUGGUCCUGAAACACGACGCAAUGCAGACUGGGGUUACCCGCUGUGAUGCUGAUCAGAAUCUGACUGCCUUCGACCAGAAGUCCUGCGCUUUUCUUCAGCAUGAGCGGCAACGUGUCCAUCGCUGAAAUAGCAAACAGCAGAUUGCGUUUGAGUUCAGGUUCAAGAACACCCAGCUGGCUCAGUUCCACUUUCGUCUCUAGGAGAUAUUUAGUUUCCAGGGAGGGGAAAAAGAACUCCUUUCUGUAGUGAAUACAGAAAUAAUGACACCCGCGUUAGAUUUGUUUCCUGUGUGCUUUUUACAGCGCCCUCCGAUAAUAUUGGCACCCUUGGUAAAUAUGAGCAUCUUUUGUUUAAAAAGGUUCACAAGAAUAAAUACGCUGCUCUCAUAGAGAUCAAACAACUGCAAACAUUUUGAAACUUUCUUAAAUAUAGGUGUGCAACAAUUAUUUCAAUUAUUCAAGUUGUCAAUACUAUGUGCUGCCUCCCUCUGCCAAGAUAACAGCGCCGAGUCUUCUCCUAUGACGCCUGAUGAGAUCGGAGAAUACGCGGCGAGGGAUCUGAGAGCGUUCCUCCGUACAGAACCUCUCCAGACCCUUCACACUGCGAGGUAUUUACCGAGGGUGGCAAUAUUAACGGAGGGCACUCUAUAUAUAUUCAUCUCUUAAACAAAACACAGGUCUCGGCUGAAAACAUUUGCAAGUGUGGACACCGAUUAACGUUCGACAUUCCAGACGUUCCAGAAAAAUAACAGGAAUAAGAAUAGAAAACAUGCUGACAAGAUGUGCCGUUAGAGGAAAAUGAUCAAUGACGGGGAGGCGUGAUGCGUGAACGCUAAUCAGACUUCCUGUAAACGCCGUGAAGCCGAUUAGUUUCCUAUAAUAUCACAUCCAGAGUGUGUGUAUAUAACAUUUUCUAACGAAUCACAUCGUACCUUUGAUAUAUUUACAGUUACAUUUACAUGCCGAAUCUGCAUUUGCAGCUGCGCUACCGUCAGAGCUGCUGUUACAGGAAAUGAGUCAACGCCUUCUGACCAAUCCACAAAACACAAAAGCGCUGUAUAACUACGCAGUAAAACGUGUCGUUUCAACAGAAACCUGACGCGGGAGACAACUUUAUAUUACGCACAGAGGGACUGGUGUUGUGAAGUUUUGCCAUCCAGCGACAGAAAUAAUCUCAUGUAGAAACAAACACAACAGAGGGUUCGGUGUCUAGGAUCUAGAAUUUUGCGGCAAAACGUUAAGCGUAUCACUCGAUGCUCCACUUUUACAAAAGAAUUCAUUAAAACAGCGAUGCGUGUGUUGAGCACGUUACGCGUCCUCAUUUUUGUGUUUGAUGAAGCAUGAAGUAAGCUGUCAGAAACAUCCUGGGACAAGGCCACAGCCGGAGUGAUCGUGUAACCUGGGGACAGUGGAACGAUGCAGAUUUGGUGAGAAACCCCUCAGAAAUGAGUGUUUUGCUGAGUCUGGAUAAAGUCUGUGUGCCCUGAUUUGGAUAUUAAACAGUACUCACACAAAGGCCAUGAGGACGAGUCCUGUUUGUUCCUUCCUGCAGAACAACAGUGACAUGUUUUUGCAGCUGUAAAAGUGAGACUGAUGCUUUAGAAGAAGUUGAGGAUGGAUGCACUUACUUGUCAGAACGAGCUGAAGGCGUGAGAUGAGCAGAAAACUCAACCCUGACCAGUCUUCUCCUGGUGAGAUUCGUUUUCUGGCCACAGCGUUUGGCCCCGCCUCCCGGAAGAGCUACACGCGACAAGGGGCGGGGCUACCGACAACCGCGUCAGGCGAAGGGGCGGGCUUCCGCGCCGUCCGUGUUACAGAUCUAGAACAUGACUUCUUGUGCGACUUCCCAAAGGGAAAAUAAAAUUCUGCGACAAUGGUGUAAAAACAUUACAAACUGUAUUUCAUAUCACUCAUGUACUAGCGUUGCACAUACAUACAAAUAAUAAUCAUAUAUAAUAUAUUGCCUGAUGCAAUAUACACAGAGUUCUAUGCUUUAGGGCAGUGGUUUUCAAAGUCGGGGCCGCCAGGGGGCGCUCGGGGGGGCCGCAAUCAUUUGGUGUGAAAAAUAAAUAAAAGUAUGUUUUCUCUUUCUCACUCUGAGACAACCACACGCACGCACACACACACACACACACACACACACACAAUUCCUAAAGUAAUGUAAUGUAAAGAUGUAAGAUGUAAUCUUUAAUAAAAAAAAGGGGGAUAUAUUCAGAAGUCUGUAUUUUUAAUGUGUUUUUAAAGACACCUUGCAAAAGGGCGGCCUCGGUCAAAUGGUAAUGCCAUUUGGGGGGCCUCGCCCUGGGAAAGUUUGGGAACCCCUGCUUUAGGGAACAACCCUUGUGCUUAGUUUGCUGAUUUUGUGAGGUGUUUAAAUAUCUCGUAUUCCUCUCAGCGACGUCUCAAAUCUGCCCAACUGUGUAAAAGUAGGUGUGUUGGUGUGUUGGUGUGUGUGGACCGUUGACGGUAAAGUGAUGAUUAUAAACACACACCUGCAUGAUGACUCGGGGAUUCUGAGAAACAAACUCACACGUGUGUGUGUGUGUGUGUGUGUUUUUAAAACGCCGCUGAUUCACACACCGACGAGAGAAAGGAGGAGACGCCACGGCACACAGGAGCGUCACCUCCGUGUCAUGGCGACGUCCGUGUCUUCAUCGGGGAGUAAAGAUCUGGGGCUCAGGAGUGCAUCGCUGCUCGGCAAAACGUCGUCGAUCUCCAUCAUGAGUGAGAUAAAAAACUUCACCGUGCCGUGUUUGGAUUUGGACACGUUCCUCUCAGCGAAGGUGAAACUGCGCCAAGAAGGCUUUCUGGAUUCCAACAUGAAGACCUGCUUGGAUUUUGCGAUCCAGACGCUGGAGAAAUUCCCUGCCUCGAAACGCCGUGACGUCUCUCUCACCUUUGAAGGAGAGAGGCAGCUGGUUCGGUUCACUGCAGGAAACCCCGUCCUGCUGUACGUGGUCCGUGUGGGUCAGAACGGUCCAGAGCUUCAUCAGAAAGUCCCGGUCGGGUCUCGUCUCGUCCCCUCGUGCCUGAGCGAGUCUCACUUCGCCGGGCAUCGCUGCAGAGACGAGCUGGAGAGCUGCGUGGAUCGAGCGAGGCGCGUUUUACGCGCGGAAAUCGAGUCGGAUCCGUCGUCUCAGAGCCAGCUGGAGCUGAGGAUCGUGUGCGGUGAGCUUCAGAUUACUUACACUACCCAGCAGCCUCAGCGCAGCCUUUUCGUCUGCCCUCGCCGACGAGUGUGCUUCGGCAAAACGCUGAACCUGGAGAAGCUCCUGGAGACCAAAACACGUCUGGAGAGAAGCGGCGAGAUGAAGGAAGGCCUGCUGGCUUGUUUCCAGCACCUGCUGAUCAACUACAGUCAGUUUCAGGAGGAAAACAUCCGCGUCCUCAUCCAGAGUGACGGAGAGCUGGUGGAGCUCGUCUGCGGACGCGACGGAUACCACAGCACGCAGCACUUCGUCUUCACCGACGGACAGAAUCGAGCUCACAGCCACAGGGUUCAGGACAUGGAGCUGUGGGAGUACGAGUGAAGGUCGAGGGGCCAGGAGGAUACUCGGGUGGACGGAUGGAUAGAUGGAUAGAUAGAUAGAUAUUCAAUAACCGGCAGUUGUGGCGAGGAAACACAAACACGGACACAGGUAGAUUCUGCGACCCCAAACAGACUCCAGAUCCAGCGUUUCACAAAAGCGUCGCAGUGCAAAGGUCACGGUCAAACGGUAGAGCGAGCGUCACGCCGAACACUCUCUCUCUCCUAGUUGAGACGAUCUUACCUUUACGACGCUUUUGGGAAACUUCCUCCUCCGACACGCAACUGAUCGAGGAGAUGAGUGCGCUACGCCACCGAGUCUCACCAGAACACCACUGAAGCGCACUGGGAACGGAGCCUUGGAGAACGGAGACAUGUCCCGCCGAGCAGAGGGCGUGAAAGAUGGGCGGGGCUAGAGAAGAGCCAGGAUACCGACCUUAUGCUACUAGAUGUUAUUAUAUGACGCAGAUGCAGUACUUCAUAUAAAAUUACUUUCAUCUUUCUACAUGCAUUGCAUAACAAUUCUAUUUGUACAAUCACCUGUAACUUUAUAAACUCUUGUUUAUGAGAAGCAGUAGACAUUCUGUAAAAAACAAAAAAACAACAACAACAACAACAACAACAAACCCAUCAGAAGACUUGUAAAGACAUUUCCAUGUUCAGUGCUGACGAAACGGUUUUUACCCUGAGACUCGAUGAUGUUUUCUUUUGUACGAGCAAAAUAAAUCAAUCACUUAACACAAAGUGUCUUUUCUUCCAGCAGAAAAAGAAAACAGUACAGAGAAGAGAAGAAAGGCAGAACAGGAACAGAGAAUAAAAGAGAAGCGCAGAAGAACGCAGAACAGUACAGUACAGAACAGUACAGAGCAGAGCAGAGCAGAGCAGAGCAGAGCAGAGACGCAGGGAAUGUUCAGGACAGACCAGAACAGAGAACCAUAAAGUACAGAACAGAGAGACGAGCAGAACGGAGGAAAGACGGAGAGGACCGAGCAGACGAGAGCAGAACAGAAAGUCUGGGUAUUAUUGUGAUCGUGUACCUUUAAGAACGUCCGGGCGGUUCUGCUGUGCAGGAAAUGAAACCGAAAGAGAGGAUAUCCGGCCCUUACGCUGAGGGACACGAACACGUCUAUUCACGGAACCACGACAGGGUUUAGUCGAUGGACCCUGAGUGCUGCACUGAUCAGUGUUUCUGUGCUUUUUAUUUUCUACAGCUUUGUGUGAAGGAACUCGAAGAGCUCUGUCGCUCCUCUACACGAUGUCUGGAGCACCAGAAACCUUUGAUGUGCAUCCUGACACGCAAGGCAUACUGUCAGUGAAACAGAAGCUGAAGGAGAAGGCAUGCAAGGACAACGUCCUCCUCUCCAACCUGGAUAUUUCCGAGCGCAUGUUUAGACACAACCCUCUCGACGAAGCCAUGACCCUGCAGGUCAAAAGUGAAUGUCAGUGUCUGAAAAUCGGCAAAGUCGGCGGCGUGAUUUACACCGUGUCGGCCGAGGACGGUAAAACUCGCAUCGAUUGCUGCGUCUACUGCGACGGCGACGCGGUCGUGGACGCGGACGUCAAGAGCAUCUAUUUCAGCGUGCACUCCUGCCAGAACCAGAUGAGAUCCUGUUUUACAGAAGCCAAAGACGUGGUGGGGUCCAAACAUCAGGCGUUAAAGAUCACGUGCAACAGGUUCUCCAUCACCUUCACCAUCAGAGGCGUACCGGACGAGAUCAAGACGAUCGAAACCAAGUGCCAGUUUAAGCUGCGAUAUAUAACGGCGGAGGGAUUGCUGGAAAGGAAGUGCUGGAUGCAGAAGGAGAAAACGAACCGCCACUUGAUCGCGUGUCUCGAUUUUCUGAUCGAGAAAUAUCUCAACACAUCCGAGUAUCCCGAAUCUAACUGCAGGUUCAUUUUACAGGGAAAUAAAGAAAUGGCAGAAAUCCUUUCAGAGAGUCCAUGCACUCAGCAGUACAUUGUGAUAUGUGAUGAGUAUUCCAAAGUCUCCAUUUAUCCGCCCAAACUGAAGCUGUAGUCCCUGACACGUGUCCAACAAACUGCACAUUUAUGCAAAUUUCCCAAAUAUCAUCUGCAUCUUCAUCCACUGUUCCAUGUUUAUAUAUAUAUAUAUAUAUAUAUAUUAUAUAUAUAUAUAAUCACAAUGUCUUUGAUGUCUUUGUCUAGACCAUGCAACUCCUAGUGUUUUCUUACAUCAUAAAUACACAGGUUUCAUGUCCUCUAAUCUCGUGUCUCUGAUGUCGAGCAAGUGUAUGUGUUUAUAUCUCGUUAUACAGUAUAUUAUACACCUACAACCCUCCUUUCAAAUCUGAAUAAACCCUUUGAUUUCACCCAGCUGUCUUAUAUUUCUCUUUCCUCAUUCACCGGUCGGAUUAAAUUUCCUUUUUUGAACUUGCAGGUCAUGGAAUGAUGGUGUGUGUGUGUGUGUGUGUGUGUGUGUGUGUGUGUGUGUGUGUGUGUGUGUGUGUGUGUGUACGCACGUCCUCAAUUUAAAGGUGAAGUUUCAUCACUGCAAAUAAAACGUUAUCGUUCAUAGAAAAAAAAAAGAGACAAUAAAACAAAGAAUAACAGAAACUGAAUUAAAAUCACAAUCGCGGGAUAUAAAUCGGUCCGUUCGGGAUUUUGCAGCGUUUUUUUUUUUCAAAAAAUCAAAAACGCGUGAUUUUGCUGCGGCUUUUUUCAAAAUUUGUGAUGCAACCUGCGGAGCCUUUUUUUUUUUUUUUUUUAAACGGACAACUACUCGAACUGCCGAGAUCGCGCUCGCACGAGAUAGCUCUGCGCGCUCUUUCGGCGAUGUUUGUUGGUCAACGAGACCUUUUAGCCGCACCCGUGUCCGACGCACGUGAAUGGGAGGGCGCUCCGGCCGAACGCGCCUCGACCCGACUCUGCAGAAAAUCUGUGGAAAUUUUGAAAAACUGAAAUUGCGUUAAUUUCGGCAUCGGCGGAACCCUGAGGGACCGUAUAAGGGUAAGUGUAGGUCACACUUUCAGUGUCAGACUGUUUAACGUCUCGGACACAGUUUCAUACAUUUGAUUGAAAAUGAAUUUUAAGCCAGUUUUAUUCUCCAACCAAGACCAACUAAUGAGUCACUUUAUCAUGGAUGGAUUAGUAAAUCCUGGGCCCAUGGGCAGGAACCGACACAGGAACCUCCUCCUCACCUCUCUACACACCAACGAACCAAUGUAGGGAACUCUGACCGCCCGUGCCCGCCCGUACCCGCUCCCACAAAGCGCCCUCUAAUGGUCAGGGACCAGUAAUCCAUUACUGAACGAGUCUCCUGAAAAAUAACCUGAUCGGCCUCUUUAACAGACCUUCAGGAAAAAA